rnacentral:rRNA from 1 species
UACACAUGCAGUCGAGCGGUAGCACAGAGAGCUUGCUCUCGGGUGACGAGCGGCGGACGGGUGAGUAAUGUCUGGGAAACUGCCUGAUGGAGGGGGAUAACUACUGGAAACGGUAGCUAAUACCGCAUAACGUCGCAAGACCAAAGUGGGGGACCUUCGGGCCUCAUGCCAUCAGAUGUGCCCAGAUGGGAUUAGCUAGUAGGUGGGGUAACGGCUCACCUAGGCGACGAUCCCUAGCUGGUCUGAGAGGAUGACCAGCCACACUGGAACUGAGACACGGUCCAGACUCCUACGGGAGGCAGCAGUGGGGAAUAUUGCACAAUGGGCGCAAGCCUGAUGCAGCCAUGCCGCGUGUAUGAAGAAGGCCUUCGGGUUGUAAAGUACUUUCAGCGGGGAGGAAGGCGAUAAGGUUAAUAACCUUGUCGAUUGACGUUACCCGCAGAAGAAGCACCGGCUAACUCCGUGCCAGCAGCCGCGGUAAUACGGAGGGUGCAAGCGUUAAUCGGAAUUACUGGGCGUAAAGCGCACGCAGGCGGUCUGUCAAGUCGGAUGUGAAAUCCCCGGGCUCAACCUGGGAACUGCAUUCGAAACUGGCAGGCUAGAGUCUUGUAGAGGGGGGUAGAAUUCCAGGUGUAGCGGUGAAAUGCGUAGAGAUCUGGAGGAAUACCGGUGGCGAAGGCGGCCCCCUGGACAAAGACUGACGCUCAGGUGCGAAAGCGUGGGGAGCAAACAGGAUUAGAUACCCUGGUAGUCCACGCCGUAAACGAUGUCGAUUUGGAGGUUGUGCCCUUGAGGCGUGGCUUCCGGAGCUAACGCGUUAAAUCGACCGCCUGGGGAGUACGGCCGCAAGGUUAAAACUCAAAUGAAUUGACGGGGGCCCGCACAAGCGGUGGAGCAUGUGGUUUAAUUCGAUGCAACGCGAAGAACCUUACCUGGUCUUGACAUCCACAGAACUUAGCAGAGAUGCUUUGGUGCCUUCGGGAACUGUGAGACAGGUGCUGCAUGGCUGUCGUCAGCUCGUGUUGUGAAAUGUUGGGUUAAGUCCCGCAACGAGCGCAACCCUUAUCCUUUGUUGCCAGCGGUUCGGCCGGGAACUCAAAGGAGACUGCCAGUGAUAAACUGGAGGAAGGUGGGGAUGACGUCAAGUCAUCAUGGCCCUUACGACCAGGGCUACACACGUGCUACAAUGGCACAUACAAAGAGAAGCGACCUCGCGAGAGCAAGCGGACCUCAUAAAGUAUGUCGUAGUCCGGAUUGGAGUCUGCAACUCGACUCCAUGAAGUCGGAAUCGCUAGUAAUCGUAGAUCAGAAUGCUACGGUGAAUACGUUCCCGGGCCUUGUACACACCGCCCGUCACACCAUGGGAGUGGGUUGCAAAAGAAGUAGGUAGCUUAACCUUCGGGAGGGCGCUUACCACUUUNAUC